GCCGGGAUAGCUCAGUUGGGAGAGCGUUAGACUGAAGUUGUUUACGCAACAGUCAUCUAAAGGCCCCCGGUUCAAUCCCGGGUUUCGGCA
rnacentral:tRNA from 1 species